rnacentral:ncRNA from 1 species
UGAUAGAGGCGCGGAUGUCAAGAGUCGUCUUUCCCGUAUGGACAGGCCCAGGGGAGGACAAAAGGGGCAUUCGCCGAGGUUUUGGGUGCCAGCCUGUGGGACCCGGAGCCGGGCUGCGGGAGAAGAUCCCACAGACUGUCGUCCUCCAAAGGGACGGAGCGCUGUCGU